CCUGGUGGUCUUUGGGACUUCACGAUCUGGGCACAACAGUUCCCAACAGCAGAUCUCCCUUUAUUUCAUUUAUUGCCGGUCCAGCCUGGACUUGUGAUGUAUUCUGAUAUAAGGGGACUGAUACUUUCAUAGGACAUUGACCCUGGAACCUUCUAAGGACACUUGUGAUCCACUUUCAGGAAGAGUCCACUGAGUCUAUUAAGAAACCAGGGAAGCUCUGAAAAACAAGGAGUAAAGCCCUUCAAUGCAAGUAUUCCUCAUGCGAGAUGAGUUUGAUAUCGCAGGAGAGAGACUGGUUCAGAAUUUCCUGGGUGACCAUUUGAUUACUAGUUGAGCUCCACUCCUGCUGGUAGAGAAUUGUUUCUCUUGUCACUCUCAGCUCAGGGUGCUGGCAAUGGGACAGGAGCCAAUCAGCGAUGAAGGUGCGGGCUGUCUGAACUACCCAAUCAGGUGGGCUGAGGGAGGAAGGCGGGCCCUUCCUGUAUCAUGGCGGCUAAGUGUACACCGUGAGAGGUUUGCUGAGAGUCCUCAGCUACCACAUUUUUCUGUAUUUUCUACUGGAUGUGAGCUGAAUUCAAAGGAUUCUGGGGGACCCACAAACCACGCAAUGGUAAUAUUGUGCAGAAGAAGCUGGGGAUGGGAUGGAAUCGGGUGCAUUUUGAAAGGAAGUACCCAGAACUAGCUGAGAAUCUGCAGCCUCCCUGCUUAGCUCCAGACACCGAGGUCUUCUUAGUGUUUGGUUCUGCAUCAUCAUCUGUCCGUUUUCCCUUUUAUUCAGGCAGGGCGAGUUUCAAGUCCUGUAGUUUCAAGUUUCAAGGUUCCUGUGUCCUGUAACUGUGACACUGCCAGCCCAAAAUGCUUUAUUGGGCAGCUGCAGGCAGAUCUGUUUCUCCACCAGUCUGAGGAGAGCAGGAGCUUUGGUGAAAAGGGAGCGCUACUCUGGGUUUUUUUCCUUGUUUGCUUUAGUAAUAAUAAUGAGAGUAGGACACUUCUUAACAAUAAUUAUAUGAUAUAAUUAUAAUUAAUAUAUAAAUUACGUAUGUUAUGUAACCAUAUCAUAAUUAUAUUAUUAUUAUUGUUAAGAAGUGCCCUACUUUGAUCAUACUAUUUGGCUUAUAUCAGCAGGACGAGGGGGAUACAAUGGAAAUCUUCAAUUAGCAGACACGAGACUGAGUAGUUAGCAUUAGGGUUAGAGUUAGGGUUAGCCCCACCAAGUUUGUCUGUAGUAUACAUCUGAAAUGUCAUCAUAGGUCCUGUAAAACAGCUUCACAUUUAUGAUUUCAAUUGAGUGGUGUGAUUCAGCCUCAGAAGAAUUCAAACUUAGAGGAGAUAUACUUUUUGAAAGGGAGAGAAACUUCUGAGGUGCUUAGGAUUUAUUAUAGAGCUGACUCCAUCCUUUAGUUGUGUGGGUGUACAGAAAUAGUUUUAAAAAGAUGAAUAGAAGUGUGAAUCACUAGGAAUGGAGCUGCUGCAGCCUAUACUAAACUGGAUUGAUAAGGGAAGCAAUGCCCAGAAAAAAAAUGGACAAUUCACAUUUGAUAUUUUUGGAUAAAUUUUGUCAUUCAGAAAUAAAUUUUUGACAUCUUUGAUUUAUCCUGAUAAAAAUAAUUUAAUGCUUUAAAUCCUGGAUCAGCAUGAAGUACUCUUGACUAUGACAAUCUACAGAGUGUUGGAAAGCAGGAGUCUCACAUACAGAUUAUUUUGUGGGGUUCUUCUGUCUGAGGAUGUGAGUCUCAUUGUCAUAGGGCUCUUACUGGAAAAUGUUUGCUUUGUCACCUGCAAAGAUUUGAUAGAAUCAGAAAAUAAUUACUAUAUAUAAAGAAUAUCUGUGAAGCACAUGUUUAGCAAAAAAAACACAACACAGUGUUUUGUGAUGAUUAACUGUGAUAUGAAUUUUUGAUAAGUAAGCACCUCCUAGCCAUUUGUAAAGCUCUGUGUUUCUCUGUGGAAGACUAGUUUGUAAAACAGGAGGGAUGGCCCACCUUGUAUGUGGUUGACAAUAACCAAUAGGCUUGUACCCAAGAUGGAAUAAAAAGGAAAAAAUUCUCUUAUUUUUCUGUGGAGGACCUCUGGUAUUUGCCAUUGCCUCUAGAAUUUGCCAUUACCUGUUUGCUGGUCUCAAGUUUCUUCAGGCUCCUACCAUUAAGUCUUCAGCCUUCCAAUGGAGAGUCUUCAGCAGAAAAAGAGGCUGAGAGAAACAGGCCAUGCACCAGAUGUGAUCUCCUGGGUCCUGCUUCCUUGACUCAGUGAGACAUGUCUUUACUAACAACCUAGGUAUGUCUCCAACUAACCAAUGUGACAAUAGAAGUCUAACCACCAGGUAACAUCAGUCAGCAGAUCAUGGAGCAACCUUGCAUCAGUGAAAAAGAGUUUUGGCUGCAUGAGCUGUCAAGAGAGAUUGGAUGGCCAGAGAAUAGAAUCCUCCUUUGUCAGUCACAUAAGUCAGAAGCUCCCAGUGUGU